CACUGACCUCGGAUCAGGUAGGGAUACCCGCUGAACUUAAGCAUAUCAAUAA
rnacentral:rRNA from 1 species